rnacentral:rRNA from 1 species
UGGGGAAUUUUGGACAAUGGGCGCAAGCCUGAUCCAGCCAUGCCGCGUGCGGGAAGAAGGCCUUCGGGUUGUAAACCGCUUUUGUCAGGGAAGAAAUCUUCUGGGGUUUAAUACCCUCGGGGAGGAUGACGGUACCUGAAGAAUAAGCACCGGCUAACUACGUGCCAGCAGCCGCGGUAAUACGUAGGGUGCAAGCGUUAAUCGGAAUUACUGGGCGUAAAGCGUGCGCAGGCGGUUUUGUAAGACAGAGGUGAAAUCCCCCGGGCUCAACCUGGGAACUGCCUUUGUGACUGCAAGGCUUGAGUGCGGCAGAGGGGGAUGGAAUUCCGCGUGUACAGUGAAAUGCGUAGAUAUGCGGAGGAACACCGAUGGCGAAGGCAAUCCCCCUGGGGCCUGCACUGACGCUCAUGCACGAAAGCGUGGGGGAGCAAACAGGAUUAGAUACCCCUGGUAGUCCACGCCCUAAACGAUGUCAACUGGUUGUUGGGAAGGUUCCUUCUCAGU